CAGCUCACUGCAACCUCUGCCUCCCAAGUUCAAGCGAUUCUCCUGCCUUAGCCUCCUGAGUAGCUGGGAUUACAGGCGCACGCCACCAUGCCCAACUAAUUUUUGUAUUUUUAGUUUGAGGCCAGCCUGAUCAACAUGGCAAAGGCUUUUAUAAGCAGAUACAUGAAUGAUCCAACUCCUAAGAGGAAAUUAUUUAAAAAUUAAAGGUGGUAAAACUCACAUUAACUAAUUAUUAGGAUUCAUUGUUAUAGUCCACCAAGAAAACCAAGAUUAUGAGCUAUAUAUAUUAUGACUGUCAUCUAUAGUUCAGGCAUUUUAUUAUUCUAUUAAUUAUUCUAUUAAUUUAUUAUUCUAUUAAUGCCAGAAAACGUCUAUUAUGUUUCAUACAAAAAAUAUAUGAAAGCAGGCCCACCAUAUAUGGAUGGAUACACAUUUAAAAAGAAGAAAUAAAAUGUAUAUGAAAGUCUUUGUAUGUAAUUUUCAGUAUGGCUUCACUGGAAUACAUUCUAGAUCAAAUCCUCCAUGAACCAGGAAUCCAUACACUUCAGAUUCUGAAAUCUAAUUUGAAAACAUGAACUAAUUGUAUGCCUUCCAAUGCAUAAUUUCUUAUUACUGAUCUUAAUACGAUAAGAUUUUAAAACUCAGGUUAAAUCUGGUAUCUGAAAGACACUAGAAAGUAUGGAGAUCAGAUAGAAGACUCCUUUUUCUGAGAAAACAGAUUAAAUGUACAAUGAACAAGUGCUACGACUUAAUGCUAUGUUAUUAUAGUGCUGGAUAAAGAGAAAAAAGGAAAAGAUAGACUUCUUGGUAUGGAUAACCCAACAGAAAUACCUGAAUGAGUUAGCUAUGAAAAUAAAGGGAAUUUUCAGAAAAUGUGAACAAUACACACAGAGGCAUGAUAGAACAGUAUAUACAAAAAAGAAAAAUGGUUCUGAAAGGCAAAGUGAAAGCUGCUGCUUCUUACAUGGCAAAACCAGAAAAAAUAAAAUUGGAGAAGCUUACAAAGAACCUUAUUGUGCCAUUUUAAAUAAUUGAACAUCAUCUUAAGAGCAGGAGGGAGGAAGUAAGGAUUUUAAUUGGGAAUAGUUUAUUUCAGAGAGAUUACUCUGGUAGUAUUUUGCUAUCACUCCUAAAAUCAGAGAAAAAUUCAUGUUUCUUAUAUGCAAAUUAAUUCAAAU
rnacentral:lncRNA from 10 species